CGGGGAUUAGUUUAAUGGUAGAAUUCGCGGCUGGGGGCCGUGCGGCAACAGUUCGAUUCUGUUAUCCCCGA
rnacentral:tRNA from 1 species